rnacentral:rRNA from 1 species
UGAACGCUGGCGGCAGGCCUAACACAUGCAAGUCGAACGGUAACAGGGAUCAGCUUGCUGAUUCGCUGACGAGUGGCGGACGGGUGAGUAAUGUCUGGGAAACUGCCUGAUGGAGGGGGAUAACUACUGGAAACGGUAGCUAAUACCGCAUAACGUCGCAAGACCAAAGAGGGGGACCUUCGGGCCUCUUGCCAUCGGAUGUGCCCAGAUGGGAUUAGCUAGUAGGUGGGGUAACGGCUCACCUAGGCGACGAUCCCUAGCUGGUCUGAGAGGAUGACCAGCCACACUGGAACUGAGACACGGUCCAGACUCCUACGGGAGGCAGCAGUGGGGAAUAUUGCACAAUGGGCGCAAGCCUGAUGCAGCCAUGCCGCGUGUAUGAAGAAGGCCUUCGGGUUGUAAAGUACUUUCAGCGGGGAGGAAGGGAGUAAAGUUAAUACCUUUGCUCAUUGACGUUACCCGCAGAAGAAGCACCGGCUAACUCCGUG